AGAGUUUGAUCCUGGCUCAGGAUGAACGCUAGCGGCAGGCUUAACACAUGCAAGUCGAGGGGCAGCGGGUGUAGCAAUACAUGCCGGCGACCGGCGCAAGGGUGCGUAACGCGUGAGCAAUCUGCCCGUAUCAGGGGGAUAAGCGAUGGAAACGUCGUCUAAUACCGCAUAACACCAAUGAUGGCAUCAUCGAUGGUUGAAAGCUUCGGUGGAUACGGAUGAGCUCGCGAGACAUUAGUUAGUUGGCGGGGUAACGGCCCACCAAGACCGCGAUGUCUAGGGGAACUGAGAGGUUGGUCCCCCACACUGGAACUGAGACACGGUCCAGACUCCUACGGGAGGCAGCAGUGAGGAAUAUUGGACAAUGGCCGGAAGGCUGAUCCAGCCAUGCCGCGUGAAGGAAUAAGGUCCUAUGGAUUGUAAACUUCUUUUGUACGAGAGCAAUAAGUGUCACGAGUGACACGAUGAGAGUAUCGUACGAAUAAGCAUCGGCUAACUCCGUGCCAGCAGCCGCGGUAAUACGGAGGAUGCGAGCGUUAUCCGGAUUUAUUGGGUUUAAAGGGUGCGUAGGCGGGAUUUUAAGUCAGCGGUGAAACGCAAGGGCUCAACCCUUGACCUGCCGUUGAAACUGGAGUUCUUGAAUGCGGAUGCUGUGGGAGGAAUGUGUGGUGUAGCGGUGAAAUGCAUAGAUAUCACACAGAACACCGAUUGCGAAGGCAUCUCACAAAUCCGUGAUUGACGCUGAGGCACGAAAGUGUGGGGAUCAAACAGGAUUAGAUACCCUGGUAGUCCACACUGUAAACGAUGAUAACUACGCUGUCGGCGCAUACAC
rnacentral:rRNA from 1 species